ACGAACGCUGGCGGCAGGCCUAAAACAUGCAAGUCGAACGCUGUAGCAAUACAGAGUGGCGCACGGGUGAGUAACAUGUGGGAAUAUGCCUUUUGGUACGGAACAACUUUUGGAAACGAAAGCUAAUACCGUAUGGUCCCUUCGGGGUAAAGAUUUAUCGCCAAAAGGGUAGCCCGCAUCUGAUUAGCUAGUUGGUGAGGUAAUGGCUCACCAAGGCGACGAUCAGUAGCUGGUCUGAGAGGACGAUCAGCCACACUGGGACUGAGACACGGCCCAGACUCCUACGGGAGGCAGCAGUUAGGAAUAUUGGACAAUGGGCGCAAGCCUGAUCCAGCCAUGCCGCGUGAGUGAUGAAGGCCUUCGGGUUGUAAAGCUCUUUAGUCCACGAAUAUAAUGACUGUAGUGGAAGAAUAAGCCCCGGCUAACUUCGU
rnacentral:rRNA from 1 species